rnacentral:lncRNA from 1 species
AAGACUCAAUAGAUUCUUUGGUAAACAAGUGGGGAAAUAAGGACUUGAUAAGACUGAAUGAAGGAUGUCCAAGCCUUUGAUGAUGUAACCAUAUUUGGGAUUUUGCCCACGUCUCAGAUGUUGCUUGUUGACUCAUGAUUUUCGUGUUGCUUUGGUCAUCAAACUCUAAAAAAUACAACCCACUCUGAGGAUCCCUGAAGAUAUCAAUGAGGAAGAUGUAAGUAUUACUGAGGAUUUACCCAUUGCAUUGAGAAAGGGAAGAAGAUCAUGUGCUAAAUAUCCUAUUUAUCAAUAUGUUUGCACUAACAAUCUCUCUGAUAAGCAC